AUUGAACGCUGGCGGCAGGCCUAACACAUGCAAGUCGAACGAGUGGCGGACGGGUGAGUAAUGUCUGGGAAACUGCCUGAUGGAGGGGGAUAACUACUGGAAACGGUAGCUAAUACCGCAUACCAUCAGAUGUGCCCAGAUGGGAUUAGCUAGUUGGUGGGGUAACGGCUCACCAAGGCGACGAUCCCUAGCUGGUCUGAGAGGAUGACCCGGCAACCUUGAAAUGAAACAAGGUCCAGGCUCCUACGGGAGGGAACAGUGGGGAAUAUUUGCGAAUGGGGGGAAGCCUGAUGCAGCCCUUCCGCGUGUAUUAAGAAGGCCUUCGGGUUGUAAAGUACUUUUAGCGGGGAGGCGUUACCCGAAGAAGAAGCAACGGCUAACUCCGUUCCAGCCGCCGCGGUAAUUC
rnacentral:rRNA from 1 species